rnacentral:misc_RNA from 1 species
CAAAGGGAAGGCAAAUGCCCCAUUCAAAUCCAACAGGGCUUCCCUGAACAAAUCCUUCAAAUCCAGAAGAAAUGAGAGAAACACCGAAAAAAAUAGAAGAGCUACGACCAGUGCCGGAAGAAUCCGAAAGUGGCAUAGUAAAGCACGAGCCUCUCAUUCUUGUGAAGCCCUCCAUAUAUGCCAGCCGACGGGAGAACCCCAUGAGUCAGAAACUGAAAACAAAGCUAUACAUAACCCAAGCUAGUAUCUUUCGGUUCGGGGAGGACCUUUUGGGCAAGGUAUGGCAUGGCCGUUGAAUAGAAAACCAUAAAAAAGAGAAGAAAAAGAAACUCUCUCACUUAAAG